AAGCUCUUUGCUUUCUGAAACUUUGAGCCAAUCUGGAACAGAUGAGGAGCCUCCAUCAGAAAGAUUGCCAAUUCUUACAGGCGGGAUAGUAGCUCUGGGGAAAUUUGAUGCACUCCAUAUUGGUCACCGCGAGCUUGCAAUUCAAGCAGCAAAGAGAGGAAUUCCAUUUCUUCUUUCAUUUGUUGGGAUGGCGGAAGUACUUGGAUGGGAACCAAGGGCUCCCAUUGUUGCUGAAUGUGAUCGCAAAAGGAUUCUUUCGUCUUGGGCUCCUUAUUGCGGUAGUAUAAUGCCAAGGGAACUCCAGAUAGAUUUUUCGAAAGUUCGAUAUCUUACGCCUUGUCAGUUUGUGGAGAAGCUUUCCA
rnacentral:misc_RNA from 1 species